rnacentral:rRNA from 1 species
UAUCUCUGUAGAGUCUGCAUAUCAAUAAGCGGAGGAAAAGAAACUAACAAGGAUUCCCUUAGUAACGGCGAGUGAAGCGGGAAGAGCUCAAAUUUGAAAUCUUCAAGGUUUUACCUUGACGAAUUGUAGUUUAAAGAAGUGUUUUCUGUUGAAGUUUUGGUAAAAGUUCUUUGGAAUAGGACAUCAUAGAGGGUGAGAAUCCCGUAUUUGACCAUUACUUCCAGCGUUGUGAUACACUUUCAAAGAGUCGGAUUGUUUGGGAAUGCAGUCCAAAAUGGGUGGUAAAUUUCAUCUAAAGCUAAAUAUUGGCGAGAGACCGAUAGCGAACAAGUACCGUGAGGGAAAGAUGAAAAGAACUUUGAAAAGAGAGUUAAACAGUACGUGAAAUUGUCAAAAGGGAAGCGUUUGACACCAGUGUUGUUUUCUCGAAAAUCAAUUAAAAAAAGUUGGAUUUUGUAUUGUUAAGACCUUAUCAGCUUACUGUACUCUUUUCUUGCUUUUUUUAAUGCACUUUUCGUUUAACAAGUCAACAUCAAUUUCUUUUGUUGUAAAAGAGUCAUUGGAAGGUGGCUUUCACUUCGGUGAAAGUGUUUAUAGCCUUUGGCUUCUGCAAUCGGAGAGAUUGAGGUCUGCAGCGUAGAUCCUUCGGAGCUAGAUACGUAGAUGCUAAGUUAUAGUUUUUUAUAGACAACUUGUUGACUAUAAUUAAUCAUGCUAGCUUACUCGUUUGCGCUAUUUUACCUACGCUUAGGAUGUUGAUCUGUAGUGCGUGCGC